AGAGUUUGAUCCUGGCUCAGAAUGAACGCUGGCGGCGUGCCUAACACAUGCAAGUCGAACGAGAAAUUUCCGCUUCGGCGGAGAGAGUAAAGUGGCGCACGGGUGAGUAACGCGUGGGUAACCUGCCUUUGAAUCUAGGAUAACCCCGUGAAAACGGGACUAAUACUGGAUAAUGUCCCUUUGGCUGUGGCCUUAGGGAUGAAAGGUGACCUCUUCAUGAAAGUUGCCGUUCAAAGAGGGGCCCGCGUACCAUUAGCUUGUUGGUGGGGUAACGCCUACCAAGGCUACGAUGGUUAGCUGGUCUGAGAGGAUGAUCAGCCACACUGGAACUGGAACACGGUCCAGACUCCUACGGGAGGCAGCAGUGAGGAAUUUUGCGCAAUGGGGGAAACCCUGACGCAGCAACGCCGCGUGAGUGAUGAAGAUUUUCGGAUCGUAAAGCUCUGUCAAGCGGGAAAAAAUUCUUUCGGUCAAUACCCGGAAGAACUGAUGGUACCGCUGGAGGAAGCACCGGCUAACUCCGUGCCAGCAGCCGCGGUAAUACGGAGGGUGCAAGCGUUGUUCGGAUUUACUGGGCGUAAAGAGCGUGUAGGUGGUUUAGCAAGUCAGAUGUGAAAGCCCUGGGCUCAACUCAGGAAGUGCAUUUGAAACUGUUAUUCUAGAGUAUGGGAGAGGAGAGUGGAAUUCCCAGUGUAGAGGUGAAAUUCGUAGAUAUUGGGAGGAACACCGGUGGCGAAGGCGACUCUCUGGACCAAUACUGACACUGAGACGCGAAAGCGUGGGGAGCAAACAGGAUUAGAUACCCUGGUAGUCCACGCGGUAAACGAUGAGAACUAGGUGUAGCGGGUAUUGACCCCUGCUGUGCCGCAGCUAACGCAUUAAGUUCUCCGCCUGGGGAGUACGGCCGCAAGGCUAAAACUCAAAGGAUUUGACGGGGGCCCGCACAAGCGGUGGAGCAUGUGGUUUAAUUCGACGCAACGCGAAGAACCUUACCUGGAUUUGACAUCCUCUUGCAGCCCUGGAAACAGGGUUUUUCCGACUUGUCGGAAGAGAGUGACAGGUGCUGCAUGGCUGUCGUCAGCUCGUGUCGUGAGAUGUUGGGUUAAGUCCCGCAACGAGCGCAACCCUUGUCUCUAGUUGCCAGUAUUAAGUUAGGGACUCUAGAGAGACUGCCUCGGUUAACGGGGAGGAAGGUGGGGAUGACGUCAAGUCCUCAUGGCCUUUAUAUCCAGGGCUACACACGUGCUACAAUGGGCUGUACAAAGGGUCGCUAACUCGCGAGAGUACGCCAAUCCC
rnacentral:rRNA from 1 species